UAGGGAAUUUUCGGCAAUGGACGGAAGUCUGACCGAGCAACGCCGCGUGAGUGAAGAAGGUUUUCGGAUCGUAAAGCUCUUUUGUUAGAGAAGAACGUUGGUAGGAGUGGAAAAUCUACCAAGUGACGGUAACUAACCAGAAAGGGACGGCUAACUACGUGCCAGCAGCCGCGGUAAUACGUAGGUCCCGAGCGUUGUCCGGAUUUAUUGGGCGUAAAGCGAGCGCAGGCGGUUCUUUAAGUCUGAAGUUAAAGGCAGUGGCUUAACCAUUGUACGGUUUGGGAACUGGGGGACUUGAGUGAAGAAAGGGGGGGUGGAAUUCCAUGUGUAGCGGUGAAAUGCGUAAGUAUAUGGAGAAACACCGGUGGGGAAAGGGGCUCUCUGGUCUGUAACUGGCGCUGGGGCUCGAAAACGUGGGGGGCAAACAGG
rnacentral:rRNA from 1 species